UGAUACGUAGGGUGCGAGCGUUGUCCGGAUUUAUUGGGCGUAAAGGGCUCGUAGGUGGUUGAUCGCGUCGGAAGUGUAAUCUUGGGGCUUAACCCUGAGCGUGCUUUCGAUACGGGUUGACUUGAGGAAGGUAGGGGAGAAUGGAAUUCCUGGUGGAGCGGUGGAAUGCGCAGAUAUCAGGAGGAACACCAGUGGCGAAGGCGGUUCUCUGGGCCUUUCCUGACGCUGAGGAGCGAAAGCGUGGGGAGCGAACAGGCUUAGAUACCCUGGUAGUCCACGCUGUAAACGGUGGGUACUAGGUGUGGGGUCCAUUCCACGGGUUCCGUGCCGUAGCUAACGCUUUAAGUACCCCGCCUGGGGAGUACGGCCGCAAGGCUA
rnacentral:rRNA from 2 species